UGGGGAAUCUUGGACAAUGGGGGCAACCCUGAUCCAGCCAUGCCGCGUGGGUGAAGAAGGCCUUAGGGUUGUAAAGCCCUUUCAGUCGUGACGAUGAUGACGGUAGCGACAGAAGAAGCCCCGGCUAACUCCGUGCCAGCAGCCGCGGUAAUACGGAGGGGGCAAGCGUUGUUCGGAUUUACUGGGCGUAAAGGGCGCGUAGGCGGACGGUCAAGUCAGUGGUGAAUGGCCCGGGCUCAACCUGGGACGUGCCUUUGAAACUGAUUGUCUUGAGUGCGGAAGAGGGUGACGGAAUUCCCAGUGUAGAGGUGAAAUGCGUAGAGAUUGGAAAGAACACCAGUGGCGAAGGCGCUCUACUGGACCUGUACUGACACUAAGGGACGAAAGCUAGGGGAGCGAAAGGGAUUAGAUACCCCCGUAGUCC
rnacentral:rRNA from 1 species